AUAACUGGCGACGAACCAGCUGAAAAGGAAACUAAAUCGAGUUGACAAUCCGCACCAGAUGAUGGCAGGAAAACGCCUAAGCCAUCAUUACAGAGACGAGGAAGAAAAAGACGCCGAAGAAGAAGACCGAAACAGAAAAAGACGAGGAGGAAGAAACCGUUAGCAAGGCAUGAUUGUUGGGAACGAUAGCAGAAUACGAGGAGGAACUUUGCCGGACGAGAGAGAACGAGCGACAGCGUCAACUAUUGGACGCUGUUUUCAAGCCUCUAACUGAGUUCCACAUCGCAGGUCCAUUCUGUUGAGCUUGAAACAGUUACCAAUGUGUCGGACUGACAGCUGGAAAGUAGAGACAGUUAGCAAGAUAACCCCCAAAUGUCAUUGAAGAAGAUCUUCAUUGCGAGCAGCAGAAGUGGAGCUCCAGGAUGGAGCAGCGGGAGCCGGAGCCGCCCCUCACCAAAGUGGAAGACGAUGAGAAUUCCAAUGAAGCUGGGACGUUGUGUUAAACAUAAAUAAAAACAGAAUACGAUGAUUUGCAAAUCAUGUUUGACCUGUAUUUAAUUGAAUACACUACAAAGACAAGAUAUUUAAUGUUCAAUCUGAUAAACUUGAUUGCUUUUAGCAAAUAAUCAUUAACUUUGAAUUUUAUGGCUGCAACAUGUUCCAAAAAAGCUGGGACAGGAUCAUGUUUACCACUGUGUUACAUCACAUUUUCUUUUAACAACUUUCAAUAAACGCUUGGCAACU